rnacentral:rRNA from 1 species
GAUGAACGCUGGCGGCGUGCCUAAUACAUGCAAGUCGAGCGAACGGACGAGAAGCUUGCUUCUCUGAUGUUAGCGGCGGACGGGUGAGUAACACGUGGAUAACCUACCUAUAAGACUGGGAUAACUUCGGGAAACCGGAGCUAAUACCGGAUAAUAUUUUGAACCGCAUGGUUCAAAAGUGAAAGACGGUCUUGCUGUCACUUAUAGAUGGAUCCGCGCUGCAUUAGCUAGUUGGUAAGGUAACGGCUUACCAAGGCAACGAUGCAUAGCCGACCUGAGAGGGUGAUCGGCCACACUGGAACUGAGACACGGUCCAGACUCCUACGGGAGGCAGCAGUAGGGAAUCUUCCGCAAUGGGCGAAAGCCUGACGGAGCAACGCCGCGUGAGUGAUGAAGGUCUUCGGAUCGUAAAACUCUGUUAUUAGGGAAGAACAUAUGUGUAAGUAACUGUGCACAUCUUGACGGUACCUAAUCAGAAAGCCACGGCUAACUACGUGCCAGCAGCCGCGGUAAUACGUAGGUGGCAAGCGUUAUCCGGAAUUAUUGGGCGUAAAGCGCGCGUAGGCGGUUUUUUAAGUCUGAUGUGAAAGCCCACGGCCCAACCGUGGAGGGUCAUUGGAAACUGGAAAACUUGAGUGCAGAAGAGGAAAGUGGAAUUCCAUGUGUAGCGGUGAAAUGCGCAGAGAUAUGGAGGAACACCAGUGGCGAAGGCGACUUUCUGGUCUGUAACUGACGCUGAUGUGCGAAAGCGCGGGGAUCAAACAGGAUUAGAUACCCUGGUAGUCCACGCCGUAAACGAUGAGUGCUAAGUGUUAGGGGGUUUCCGCCCCUUAGUGCUGCAGCUAACGCAUUAAGCACUCCGCCUGGGGAGUACGACCGCAAGGUUGAAACUCAAAGGAAUUGACGGGGACCCGCACAAGCGGUGGAGCAUGUGGUUUAAUUCGAAGCAACGCGAAGAACCUUACCAAAUCUUGACAUCCUUUGACAACUCUAGAGAUAGAGCUUUCCCCUUCGGGGGACAAAGUGACAGGUGGUGCAUGGUUGUCGUCAGCUCGUGUCGUGAGAUGUUGGGUUAAGUCCCGCAACGAGCGCAACCCUUAAGCUUAGUUGCCAUCAUUAAGUUGGGCACUCUAAGUUGACUGCCGGUGACAAACCGGAGGAAGGUGGGGAUGACGUCAAAUCAUCAUGCCCCUUAUGAUUUGGGCUACACACGUGCUACAAUGGACAAUACAAAGGGCAGCGAAACCGCGAGGUCAAGCAAAUCCCAUAAAGUUGUUCUCAGUUCGGAUUGUAGUCUGCAACUCGACUACAUGAAGCUGGAAUCGCUAGUAAUCGUAGAUCAGCAUGCUACGGUGAAUACGUUCCCGGGUCU